AUCUUAUACUUGGGAGUCAGACUGUGGGUGAUAAGAUUAAUAGUCGAAAGGGCAACAGCCCAGAUCGGCAGCUAAGGUCCCUAAAUGUAAGUUAAGUGGGAAAGGAUGUGGGAUUGCACAGAAAACCAGGAUGUUGGCUUAGAAGCAGCCACUCAUUCAAAGAGUGCGUAAUAGCUCACUGGUCGAGUGAUCCUGCGCCGAAGAUUUACGGGGCUAAAACUUACUACCGAAGCUACGGCAUCAGUAAUGACGGGUAGGGGAGCUUCCCAUAAGGGUUGACGCAUGACCGUAAGGACAUGUGGACAGCAUGGAGGUGAGGAUGCUGGCAUGAAUAGUGAGAUGUUGAGGAGACUCCGACCAGCCGUAACUACAAGGUUUCCAGGGGAAGGUUAGUCCGGCGUGGGCUAGGCGGGGGCUAAGGUGAGGGGGAACGGUGUCGGUGGUGGGCGAACGGUG
rnacentral:rRNA from 1 species